CCUACGGGUGGCAGCAGUGGGGGAUAUUGCACAAUGGGGGAAACCCUGAUGCAGCGACGCCGCGUGAGUGAAGAAGUAUUUCGGUAUGUAAAGCUCUAUCAGCAGGGAAGAAAAAAGACGGUACCUGACUAAGAAGCCCCGGCUAACUACGUGCCAGCAGCCGCGGUAAUACGUAGGGUGCAAGCGUUAUCCGGAUUUACUGGGCGUAAAGGGAGCGUAGACGGCAAUACAAGUCGGAAGUGAAAUACCCGGGCUCAACCUGGGAACUGCUCUUGGAACUGGGUGGCUAGAGUGCAGGAGGGGCAGGCGGAAUUCCUGGUGUAGCGGUGAAAUGCGUAGAUAUCAGGAGGAACACCGGUGGCGAAGGCGGCCUGCUGGACUGCAACUGACGUUGAGGCCCGAAAGCGUGGGGAGCAAACAGGAUUAGAUACCCGAGUAGUC
rnacentral:rRNA from 1 species